AGUGAACGCUGGCGGUAGGCCUAACACAUGCAAGUCGAACGGCAGCACAGUAAGAGCUUGCUCUUACGGGUGGCGAGUGGCGGACGGGUGAGGAAUACAUCGGAAUCUACUUUUUCGUGGGGGAUAACGUAGGGAAACUUACGCUAAUACCGCAUACGACCUACGGGUGAAAGCAGGGGAUCUUCGGACCUUGCGCGAUUGAAUGAGCCGAUGUCGGAUUAGCUAGUUGGCGGGGUAAAGGCCCACCAAGGCGACGAUCCGUAGCUGGUCUGAGAGGAUGAGCAGCCACACUGGAACUGAGACACGGUACAGACGCCUACGGGAGGCAGCAGUGGGGAAUAUUGGACAAAGGGCGCAAGCCUGAUCAAGCCAGACCGCGUGGGUGAAGAAGGACUUCGGGUGGUAAAGCCCUUUUGUUGGGAAAGAAAAGCAGCAGGUUAAUAACCCGCUGUUCUGAAGGUACACAAAGAAUAAGCAACGGCUAACUUAGUG
rnacentral:rRNA from 1 species